UCCGUCUAUAUACCUCCGUCGUCAGCUUACCCUGUGAAGGACUCAUAGUAAGCUUAACUGGCACAGCCCAAAACGUCAGGUCGAGGUGUAGCAUACGAAGUGUGCAAGAGAUAGGCUACAUUUUCUGACUCAGAAUACUACGAAAGAGGAAAUGAAAAACCCUCCGAAGGCGGAUUUAGCAGUAAGCAAGGAAUAGAGCGCCCCGCUGAAACUGGCCCUGAAGCGCGUACACACCGCCCGUCACUCUCCCCAAACCCAACCAACCCCUCACUAACAUAUAUCACCCCCUGGAUAAAGGGGAGGCAAGUCGUAA
rnacentral:rRNA from 1 species